UGUGGCCUUUAGACAUACUACCAACGGCGGCGCGAGCGUAAGCCUCUUGGAACAGAGCGUCUACGUGGGUGAGAAUCCUGUGUUUCGCUUGAUGCCCGCCGUGCACGGUACUUGCUCUCAGAGUCACGCUCCUCGGAAUUGGAGCGUAAAUUGGGUGGUAAAUUUCAUCUAAAGCUAAAUACAGGCUCGAGACCGAUAGCAAACAAGUACCAUGAGGGAAAGAUGAAAAGGACUUUGAAAAGAGAGUUAAAAGUGCUUGAAAUCGCUGAACUGGAAGCGAAUGGAACUAGUGCUCUGGUUGAGAGUGCUGUAAAUGGCUGCGACAUCUGGGCUCUGGAACGCAAGUCCUUUGUCUGGCUUGAAGUAGUCGCUUGCAAUGUGUCUCAGCUUGAACAUCAACUUCUAUGCAUACGUGAGGAUGGCCCUUGGCUCAUGCUGUGUUGCUGUGGCGAUACUCUUGUGCUUCUGGGGAUUCAGG
rnacentral:rRNA from 1 species